UCUGGUUGAUCCUGCCAGUAGUCAUAUGCUUGUCUCAAAGAUUAAGCCAUGCAUGUCUAAGUACAAACCUUAAUACGGUGAAACCGCGAAUGGCUCAUUAAAUCAGCUAUGGUUCCUUAGAUCGUCUCAUCCUACUCGGAUAACUGUGGAAAAUCUAGAGCUAAUACGUGCUUACAAGCCCUGACCUCACGGGAGGGGCGCAUUUAUUAGAUCAAAACCAAUCGGGGCUUGCCCCGUCUGCUUGGUGACUCUGGAUAACUUUUGUGCUGAUCGCAUGGCCUCUGCGCUGGCGACGUAUCUUUCAAGUGUCUGCCCUAUCAACUUACGAUGGUAGGUGAUAUGCCUACCAUGGUUAUAACGGGUAACGGGGAAUCAGGGUUCGAUUCCGGAGAGGGAGCCUGAGAAACGGCUACCACAUCUAAGGAAGGCAGCAGGCGCGCAAAUUACCCACUCCCGGCACGGGGAGGUAGUGACGAAAAAUAACGAUACGGGACUCUUUUGAGGCCCCGUAAUUGGAAUGAGUACACUUUAAAUCCGUUAACAAGUAUCUAUUGGAGGGCAAGUCUGGUGCCAGCAGCCGCGGUAAUUCCAGCUCCAAUAGCGUAUAUUAAUGUUGCUGCAGUUAAAAAGCUCGUAGUUGGAUCUGAGGACUCGAAUUGGUGGUGCACCAUACGGUGUUACUGCCGAUUCGGCCUACCUAGUCGGUGCUCGCUCUUGGUGUUCUUAAUUGAAUGCCCUGAGUGCCCGGCAAGUUUACUUUGAAAAAAUUAGAGUGCUCAAAGCAGGCCAUUAGCCGGAAUACUUCAGCAUGGAAUAAUGGAAUAGGACUUCGGUUCUAUUUUGUUGGUUUUCGGAACCCGAGGUAAUGAUUAAGAGAGACAGACGGGGGCAUUCGUACUGCGGUGUUAGAGGUGAAAUUCUUGGAUCGCCGCAAGACGAACAACUGCGAAAGCAUUUGCCAAGAAUGUUUUCAUUAAUCAAGAACGAAAGUCAGAGGUUCGAAGACGAUCAGAUACCGUCCUAGUUCUGACCAUAAACGAUGCCAACUGGCGAUCCGAGAUCGUUUGCUUAUUGACCUCUCGGGCAGCCUCCGGGAAACCAAAGUUUUUAGGUUCCGGGGGAAGUAUGGUUGCAAAGCUGGAAACUGUUCAAUUGCAACUCUGCCUGUGACACCAAGUGGUCGGGUUACUUGGUCUGUUCUGGCCCGGAGUCGGUAGGGUUUCCGGCCUUGUGCUCUUUCCUUACUGUUCUCUGUAACGCCGAAGGCGGGGCUUCCACGGUGGGGAAGCGGUUGUACAAAUCCGGCAAAUCCAGCCAAAUGGGUUCCGGACUCUGUCCAACCUGCAACUGGUAACAGCUCGGCUGGCUAACAUUUGAGCUGGGACUCGCUUGGGAGGAGCGAGGAUAAUAUAAACCUCUAUGUGACUGAGGUGAGGAAUCUGGUUCUCGUAAAAUGGCUGGAGAUCCCGAGCCUGUAAGUCAUAAAUUAGUUUCCCCACGAGGGAGGUGUCGAAUUGAAGCCAGUGCGUGCCCUUACUAGUUUAAGGGAUUGUAUACUUCCUUUGGUGUACCCACCUGGAAGUGCCCAAGGGGUCCUAUCCCUGCACU
rnacentral:rRNA from 1 species